CCUUAACCGAGGAGUCCCAUAAUAGGACGAAACGGCCGUCCAGUGC
rnacentral:hammerhead_ribozyme from 1 species